CACUGACCAGUUUUGCAAAAAUAGGCAAAAAAAUAAGAUUUUUCAAUGUUAAUUACUUUUAUUGGGAAAACUAGAAAUCAUAAACUUAAAAUAUUAUUAUAACUAGACGCUAAGAUUAAUAGGUAGUAUGAUAGGAAAAACAUGUGUUAUAUUAAUCAACUUUGAACGAUGCAACCCCUUCUUUUGUUAGCUUGGUGACGACUUUUCUGUGAUGCUCGACUACCCUCCACAAGAAUUGUUUUUGUUGUUCGUCCCUGACCAAUUCGUUAAACUUUUUUAUCAGAGCAAUUCCUCUUUCUGCGGUAUCAUUGACCACCUUAAGAGCGUUCACAUAGCUUCUUAGAGAAUCACUGCA